GACGAACGCUGGCGGCGUGCUUAACACAUGCAAGUCGAACGAUGAAACCUAGCUUGCUAGGUCGAUUAGUGGCGAACGGGUGAGUAACACGUGACUAACCUGCCCCUUCCUCUGGGAUAACGCUCCGAAAGGAGCGCUAAUACCGGAUACUCACAUCGAGUUACAUGCCUAGCUGUGGAAAGUUUUUCGGAAAGGGAUGGAGUCGCUGACUAUCAGCUUGUUGGUGAGGUAACGGCUCACCAGGGCGACGUCGGGUAGCCGGCCUGAGAGGGCGCCCGGCUACACUGGGACUGAGACACGGCCCAGACUCCUACGGGAGGCAGCAGUGGGGAAUAUUGCACAAUGGGCGCAAGCCUGAUGCAGCGACGCCGCGUGAGGGAUGAAGGUCUUCGGAUUGUAAACCUCUUUCAGUAGGGACGAAGCAAAAGUGACGGUACCUAAAGAAGAAGCACCGGCUAACUACGUGCCAGCCGCCGCAGUAA
rnacentral:rRNA from 1 species